rnacentral:tRNA from 2 species
CCGACCUUAGCUCAGUUGGCAGAGCGGAGGACUGUAGUGGGAUAACUCCAGAGCAAUCCUUAGGUCGCUGGUUCGAAUCCGGCAGGUCGGA